rnacentral:rRNA from 1 species
GGCUGCAGUGGGGAAUCUUCCGCAAUGGACGAAAGUCUGACGGAGCAACGCCGCGUGAGUGAAGAAGGUUUUCGGAUCGUAAAACUCUGUUUUCAGGGACGAAUGUGCAGUAUGUAAAUAAUGUAUUGUAAUGACGGUACCUGAGUAGAAAGCCACGGCUAACUACGUGCCAGCAGCCGCGGUAAUACGUAGGUGGCAAGCGUUGUCCGGAAUUAUUGGGCGUAAAGCGCGCGCAGGUGGGAUAAUAAGUCUGGUGUGAAAGUUCGGGGCUCAACCCCGUGAAGCAUUUGGAAACUGUUAUUCUUGA